AGCAGUGUACCAUAGUGGUAUGGAGUGGGGCUUCUAACCAGAAGGUUGCUGGUUCGAUUCCCUGCUGGGGCACUGCUG